GGCCCAGUAGUUCAGUUGGUUAGAACGCCGGCCUGUCACGCCGGAGGUCGAGGGUUAGAGUCCCUUCUGGGUCG
rnacentral:tRNA from 1 species